GAAAGAGAUAAAAAAAAAAAAAAAAAAAAAAAAAAAAAAAUGCCGACUGGACCACACUGUAUCAACUGGCAGUGAUGGAUGGACGGUUAGCUCCAGUGCUUGGCUGUGAGACUAAAAUUAAAAAAAUGGAUCGAUCAUCUACCAACUGACAGGAACCUCCAGGAGGAUCCAACACUGACAAAGAUGAUGGCUGAUGAUGAUUACUACAAUCAACAGCAAUUCCAACAAAAUAAUGAUUACUGGAGGAUGUUGGUGCACAUUUGUGUACUUGAGGCAGGACCUAAGAUCUUCUCAAAGCUGCUUACUUGAAGGGUUCGUGCUGAACCUCCUGCACCACAUACUUGUCGUAUGCUUCCCGACGUCUG